AGCAAGCAUAAGUGCACAAGAUUAGCACUUAGCUAACGUUAGCAGUCCUCUUAAAUCUGCUUUUUGUCAAUGAACCUAAUCUUUAAACUGUUUAGUUUGUAACUGACAUUGUGGCAUUUGUGUGUAUUCAUAAAUUUAAACAAAAAUGAAAUAGCUGCUCUGCCUCACAGCCAGACUUGCUGUUAUAGCAGCAUCUUACCAUUUACUGAGUUUUUUUGUCUGUUUGUACACUGUAACCGUGAACCCACUAACUCACAGUUUGUCACUGGUUUUCUCAACAGAACAUUGAUACUGCUGUGCGCUUUUGAUUGUGUUGGUUACCUCCGUGGUCCGCUGGCCUCCAGCUCCUCUCCCUCUCCAUCUAUCCAUUUGAGAUCAUUCACCUCUCUCCUAUCACUCUACCCACUCAUCCCUUAAUAUAAGACAUUCUAUCUCUCCUGUCAAUCUAAUACAUCUAUCUAAUUUUGAGGUUUUCUAUCUCUCCUGUCAUAUCUAAUAUAUCUAUCUAAAUUUUGGAAAUUCUAUCAUUCUAUCCCUCUAAUUCUAUCCCGCUCUAUCUCCUUGCAUUCUUGCAAGAAACCGAUAUUUUGGAACGAUAUAUUUGAACCUUGUCUUUUGGAACCUGAUAUUACAGAUUACUGGUAUCUGUUUUGGAUUCAUGGGUUGAUUGGAACCUGAUCAUUCUGUUUUAUGGAUCUGUGAGUUUCUCUGCUCACACUUUUUCUACCUCUCCUGUCUCUCUCUCACACACACAUUUGAUUUGGCCUUUUCAAUUGGCAAAAACCUUAUUAUUGUAUUUUUGAAUUGUCCAUAUUGUAUCAAUAUUGUAUUUGGUAACAGUCAUAAUUAAAUAAAUGAUUAAGUAUUUUUGUUCAUUAAAUUUAAAAUAAUUGAAAAGACAGAAACAACAUAAAUAACACACAUUUUGUUUAGCUUUUUAUCAAAAACAUUGGACUGUAAAAAGUAAUUAAAAAUUAAAUUGGUACAUUUCCAAAUAUAUAAGUUGCUGUUAUAAAGUGUAUCAUUGAAGAAAACUGUCUAUUGUUAAUGUACAUAACAAUAAAUUGAAGUCCAAAUCUAUAUUUAUAAAAGAAAAGAGCUGUAGUUUUCCUGGACCGUGUUGCUGUGGAGCUCUGUACCAAAAGGUUUGUUUUGACUGCAAAUAUAUUCAUACCAGAGUACACAUAAUCAGUUUUUGUUUGUACAAGUGUAAAAGUAAUUACACUACAUACAUUGAGUUAUUUGUCUCUCAUUCACAUAUUUGUACCUCGUCUAUAGAUCCACCCACAUUGUUGGCAUCAACACCUUUUGUACAUGCUUUAUUGUUGGUUAAACCUUUAUAAAGUGAAAUAAAUAAACCAACUGUAA